rnacentral:rRNA from 1 species
AAUCAACGCUGGCGGCGUGCCUAACACAUGCAAGUCGAACGCGAAAGGGGCUUCGGCCCUGAGUAGAGUGGCAGACGGGUGAGUAACGCGUGGGUGACCUACCCUCGAGCGGGGGAUAACGUCUCGAAAGGGACGCUAAUACCGCAUGACAUCCUGCCCUUGGACGGGCGGUGAUCAAAGCUGGGGAUCGCAAGACCUGGCACUUGAGGAGGGGCCCGCGUCCGAUUAGCUAGUUGGUGGGGUAACGGCUCACCAAGGCGACGAUCGGUAGCCGGCCUGAGAGGGCGGACGGCCACACUGGGACUGAGACACGGCCCAGACUCCGACGGGAGGCAGCAGUGGGGAAUUGUUCGCAAUGGGCGCAAGCCUGAUCCAGCAAUGCCGCGUGCAGGAAGAAGGCCUUCGGGUUGUAAACUGCUUUUGUACGGAACGAAACGGUCCUGGUUAAUACCUGGGGCUGAUGACGGUACCGUAAGAAUAAGCACCGGCUAACUACGUGCCAGCCGCCGCCGCAGUAA